rnacentral:rRNA from 1 species
GUACGCUGGUCGUUUGAUAUUUCCGUCGCCGAUUACCCGCAGACGUCGCGACCUGUUCGCGGUCGGUCCCUGCUCGGAGGAGCCGCGUUCGAGUUCGUUGCGUGUCGCGUUUCGGCGUGUCACGCGGUGAAGGCGCGGGUCUCUGGCUGGCCGUCGGACAGUACGCUUAACGGUGUCCGGUGUCGUCGUUUCGUACGCGCGUGCACCGGUACCGGUCAGCGACGAAUUCUUCGGGCCUCUUUCCGACCCGUCUUGAAACACGGACCAAGGAGUCUAACAUGCGCGCGAGUCGCGGGGUGUCGAGCGUACUUCGGUGCGUUCGUUACGUUGCGAAACCCGUACAUGUCGAAGGCGUAAUGAAAGUGAAUGGGGAAGAUGGUGUUCCGAGUACACGUUCCGCGAUCGUCGGUAUCGCGGCCGGGCACCCGCAUUCCCGGGGCGUCUCAACGGCCCGUCGCUGAUGCGGACAGUCGUCUCUCGGGGCGGCUGUCGGUCGGCGACGAACCGAGGCGCACCUAUAGCGUGCACGUUGGUACCCGAAAGAUGGUGAACUAUGCCUGGCCAGG